GAAAUAUAUUAAUAUAAGCUUCUAACUUAUAAUAUAGUGGUUAAUAUCCAUUAAUAUUUCU
rnacentral:tRNA from 2 species